AGUGAACGCUGGCGGUAGGCCUAACACAUGCAAGUCGAACGGCAGCACAGUAAGAGCUUGCUCUUACGGGUGGCGAGUGGCGGACGGGUGAGGAAUACAUCGGAAUCUACUUUUUCGUGGGGGAUAACGUAGGGAAACUUACGCUAAUACCGCAUACGACCUACGGGUGAAAGCAGGGGAUCUUCGGACCUUGCGCGAUUGAAUGAGCCGAUGUCGGAUUAGCUAGUUGGCGGGGUAAAGGCCCACCAAGGCGACGAUCCGUAGCUGGUCUGAGAGGAUGAUCAGCCACACUGGAACUGAGACACGGUCCAGACUCCUACGGGAGGCAGCAGUGAGGAAUAUUGGACAAAGGGCGCAAGCCUGAUCCAGCCAUACCGCGUGGGUGAAGAAGGCCUUCGGGUUGUAAAGCCCUUUUGCUGGGAAAGAAAAGCAGCAGGUUAAUACCCCGCUGUUCUGACGGUACCCAAAGAAUAAGCACCGGCUAACUUCGUG
rnacentral:rRNA from 1 species